GAUGAACGCCGGCGGUGUGCCUAAUACAUGCAAGUCGAACGCGUUGGCCCAACUGAUUGAACGUGCUUGCACGGACUUGACGUUGGUUUACCAGCGAGUGGCGGACGGGUGAGUAACACGUAGGUAACCUGCCCCAAAGCGGGGGAUAACAUUUGGAAACAGAUGCUAAUACCGCAUAACAAUUUGAAUCGCAUGAUUCAAAUUUAAAAGAUGGCUUCGGCUAUCACUUUGGGAUGGACCUGCGGCGCAUUAGCUUGUUGGUAGGGUAACGGCCUACCAAGGCUGUGAUGCGUAGCCGAGUUGGGAGACUGAUCGGCCACAAUGGAACUGAGACACGGUCCAUACUCCUACGGGAGGCCAGCAGUAGGGAAAUCCUCCACCAAUGGGCGCAAGCCUGAUGGAGCAACAACCGCGUGAGUGAAGAAGGGUUUCGGGUUGUAAAGCUCUGUCUUCAGGACGAUAAUGACGGUACCUGAAGGAGGAAGCCACGGCUAACUCCGUGCCAGCC
rnacentral:rRNA from 1 species